UACAGAGGUCUCAAGCGUUGUUCGGAUUUAUUGGGCGUAAAGGGCGCGUAGGCGGCGGGGUAAGUCGGGUGUGAAAUCUCAGGGCUCAACCCUGAAACUGCACUUGAUACUGCUCUGCUUGAGAACUGGAGAGGAGACUGGAAUUCACGGUGUAGCAGUGAAAUGCGUAGAUAUCGUGAGGAAGACCAGUGGCGAAGGCGGGUCUCUGGACAGUUCCUGACGCUGAGGCGCGAAGGCCAGGGGAGCAAACGGG
rnacentral:rRNA from 1 species